rnacentral:rRNA from 1 species
GAUGAACGCUAGCUACAGGCUUAACACAUGCAAGUCGAGGGGAAACGACAUCAAAAGCUUGCUUUUGAUGGGCGUCGACCGGCGCACGGGUGAGUAAAGCGUAUCCAACCUGCCCACCACUUGGGGAUAACCUUGCGAAAGUAAGACUAAUACCCAAUGACGUCUCUAGAAGACAUCUGAAAGAGAUUAAAGAUUUAUCGGUGAUGGAUGGGGAUGCGUCUGAUUAGCUUGUUGGCGGGGUAACGGCCCACCAAGGCGACGAUCAGUAGGGGUUCUGAGAGGAAGGUCCCCCAAAUUGGAACUGAGACACGGUCCAAACUCCUACGGGAGGCAGCAGUGAGGAAUAUUGGUCAAUGGACGAGAGUCUGAACCAGCCAAGUAGCGUGCAGGAUGACGGCCCUAUGGGUUGUAAACUGCUUUUAUAAGGGAAUAAAGUGAGUCUCGUGAGACUUUUUGCAUGUACCUUAUGAAUAAGGACCGGCUAAUUCCGUG